AUUCACAUUGUCAGGAUAUAUACUAAAAUUGGAAAGAUACAGAGAAGAUUAGCAUGAUCCCUAUGCAAGGAUGACACAAACUGGUGAAGCAUUCCAUAUUUUA